AAUUUUUUACUAUGGGGGGAACCCUGAUACAGCCAUGCCGCGUGUGUGAAGAAGGNCUNNGGAUUNUNAAGCACUUUAAGUUGNNNNNAAGAGUUGUAGGCUAGUACCUUGCACUUUUGACGUUACCAACAGAAUAAGCACCGGCUAACUUCGUGCCAGCAGCCGCGGUAAUGAGAAGGGUGCAAGCGUUAAUCGGAAUUACUGGGCGUAAAGCGCGAGUAAGUGGUUCGUUAAGUUGGAAGGGAAAGCCCCGGGCUUAACCUGGGAAUUGCUUUCAAAACUGACGAGCUAGAGUACGGUAGAGGGUAGUGGAAUUUCCUGUGUAGCGGUGAAAUGCGUAGAUAUAGGAAGGAACAUCAGUGGCGAAGGCGACUACCUGGACUGAUACUGACACUGAGGUGCGAAAGCGUGGGGAGCAAACAGG
rnacentral:rRNA from 1 species